UGGGGGAAAAGGAUUUUAUUCGCUUCAGGAUGGACUCGCGUCCAAUUAGCUAGUUGGUGAGGUAACGGCCCACCAAGGCGACGAUUGGUAGCCGGACUGAGAGGUUGAACGGCCACAUUGGGACUGAGACACGGCCCAGACUCCUACGGGAGGCAGCAGUGGGGGAUAUUGCACAAUGGGGGAAACCCUGAUGCAGCGACGCCGCGUGGAGGAAGAAGGUUUUCGGAUUGUAAACUCCUGUCGUUAGGGACGAAUCAUGACGGUACCUAACAAGAAAGCACCGGCUAACUACGUGCCAGCAGCCGCGGUAAAACGUAGGGUGCAAGCGUUGUCCGGAAUUACUGGGUGUAAAGGGAGCGCAGGCGGACCGGCAAGUUGGAAGUGAAAACCAUGGGCUCAACCCAUGAAUUGCUUUCAAAACUGCUGGCCUUGAGUAGUGCAGAGGUAGGUGGAAUUCCCGGUGUAGCGGUGGAAUGCGUAGAUAUCGGGAGGAACACCAGUGGCGAAGGCGACCUACUGGGCACCAACUGACGCUGAGGCUCGAAAGCAUGGGUAGCAAACAGGAUUAGAUACCCUGGUAGUCCAUGCCGUAAACGAUGAUUACUAGGUGUUGGAGGAUUGACCCCUUCAGUGCCGCAGU
rnacentral:rRNA from 1 species